GCUGGCUUGAGCGAUCCACUUGAUAACCAGCGUCGUAGUACAGUUUAGCAACAGCGCGUAUGUUUUGGAUUAGGCCAACCGGCUAACUCAAACAUAUCCAGGUUAGGUUGAACCAGCUUCGUAUUAUAGGCCCCUGGACGCUUCAGAGCAUGAACACGCAGACGAAGAGUUGUGAUUGAGACACUAGGGCAGCCAUGACUGUCAGGCACACAAUUAAGCAUCUGGCUUACCAACCCCUGCGCACUAGAAACAAACAUCUGCAGUAGAAAUGGGACAAGGCUUCAUAUGAAUUACACAGGGGAAAGGUGAGGUCAGCCAAACCAACAAUAAACACAACUCCACAAGAGACCUAUCGUCACCUUGUCAACAAACUGAAGACCAAAAAGGUUGCUGUUUUUCCACAUGUUUUAAACUCAACUCACAUGAUGUCCAUAGGCUCAGAACAAAUGUGUUUGUGCUUAAAUCAUCCAAUGAUGAAACUAUAAGAUAUUAAUAGCCCAGUAGAUAUUCUGAUGUUUUAACCUCAAUUUAGAAAAUAAAUGUUUUUAUUUUAACAAUCAUAUAUAAUAUCUCUAAGUUUAAAGAAGAAAGGACAAUGAAGAGGGAAAACAAUAUGCUUGAGGAAACAAUUUCACACAUCUUGACAACUGGAAGAGUUGACAACAGGAAUUAUUAUGAGCAAAAAAGGCAAGUUAAGGUUGGGAAAGAGCUAUCGGUGUAAAAAUACAUAAUGAAGUCAGGCAACAAGUUGUAUUGCCAAGAUAUAAGGUGGCCUCUGUGUGAAACCAAAACCCCAGUUGUAAAGCAUAUGUUCACUCUACAUUGUAGCCUUGGCAAGGAGAAGCGACAGCUGGAGUUGCUCCGCAUUACCAAGGAGAAUCAAAUGAUACUUCUCCAUCUGAGUCAAUGCAAGUCACACUAUAAUGUGAGGAGCUGGCAUGACGACUGCCUCAAAACUCUCAAGGUGAUGGAUAGCAUAGCACGUUACCCACAGGGAAGGACAAAUCAAAAGGUUAGAUCCAACUUACGUUCAUCUAUCAAGCACAGUCUGUCAGUUCUGCACUGCUCCUCUUAAACGUAAUCAUAUGAUCUUUUUGUACAGCAUUAGAAUUGUAUUUUAUGUGCCAACUACCAGGGACAAGAGAAGCGCACUGAUUGUAAUAAAGAACAAAAGAUCAGCGCGGAUGAUUCGACAAACAGCCCUUCAAGCAAAAAGGCCAAGGGCAAAGCAGAAUCUAAGGAAAAGAGAAAAGAAACCAUAGAAAGAAGAAUGACCCUGAGCCAAAUCCACCAAAGGAAUCCACCAGAUACAGCUGAGAAACCUGGUUCCUCUGACACCAUUCAAAUUAAAACAGAUACAUUCCCUCACACUGCUAAAAUUCUGUCUGCCGAUGGAUCUGAAAUGCCCAGCACUCUUCAAACACCUAAAACACUCCAGCAGGAGACUUCAAGUCCUGCAGAGGAAUAAAAUGCCUUCUUCUACAAACUCGUGUUUUUCUGUACAUUCAUUAUUCUCUGUUAAUUCCACUUGAAAUAGUAGGCUAUGAUAUGUAGGUUAUCCCAUCUUAUUGUCAAUGUAUUUUAUUCUAUCUUAAUAGGCCUACAGUAUGUCUUGGGCUCUUAUUGCGAACACUAAUUUUUACUUCCGAGCUGAACCGUUAUAUGGUCCAAUACAUUUGAAUGUACUAUUGACCCUGUGUUAACCUGCGAAUUACUAAUAAAAAGUCUUAUAGUCUUAUCUACAGAGAAACUGGACCUAGAAACUGUAUGACAUUCUUAAAUUGAUCAGUAACACUUUGGUAGAGUGUGGUGAGUGCAAUUUUCACAAAAAUAAUGUCUGUGUUAUGUGUUUCUUUAAUGAAAACAA